rnacentral:rRNA from 1 species
AUUGAACGCUGGCGGCAUGCCUAACACAUGCAAGUCGAACGGCAGCACGGGGGCAACCCUGGUGGCGAGUGGCGGACGGGUGAGGAAUGCAUAGGAAUCUGCCCAGGUUGUGGGGGAUAACGUAGGGAAACUUACGCUAAUACCGCAUACGACCUACGGGUGAAAGAGGGGGACCUUCGGGCCUCUCGCGAUUGGAUGAGCCUAUGCCGGAUUAGCUAGUUGGCGGGGUAAGAGCCCACCAAGGCGACGAUCCGUAGCUGGUCUGAGAGGAUGAUCAGCCACACUGGAACUGAGACACGGUCCAGACUCCUACGGGAGGCAGCAGUGGGGAAUAUUGGACAAUGGGCGCAAGCCUGAUCCAGCCAUGCCGCGUGUGUGAAGAAGGCCUUCGGGUUGUAAAGCACUUUUGUUGGGGAAGAAACCGGUCGGAUUAAUACUUCGGCUGAAUGACGGUACCCAAAGAAUAAGCACCGGCUAACUUCGUG